rnacentral:lncRNA from 1 species
CAGAAAGUGAAUGAUGCUUCAAUAAACACAGACCCAGCUGCUUCUGCUUCUGCCGUGGAUGUAAAGCCAGCAGCAUCUUGUGCAGCAGAGACAGAUUUUGACAUGUCAGCAAAGGAUCAUGUCUGUGAAGUGACUAAAGAAAUGGCUGAGAAAGUAGAGAAGUAUAAUAAGUGUAAACAACUCUUGCAGGAUGAGAAAGCCAAAUGCAAUAAAUAUGCUGAUGAACUUGCGCAAAUGGAGCUGAAGUGGAAAGAGCAACUACAGUUGGCAGAGAAAGACAAAGAAAUAAAUUGCCUGGCUUCAUUUUUGGAAAAUCUCUCAAGGGAGAAGGAACUUACAAAGAGUUUAGAAGAUCAAAAAGGAAGGAAAAUGGAAGGCCAGAGCCCUCAACAAGUCUCACGGUGUCUUAACACCUGCUCUGAGCAGAGUGGGCUCCUCCCUACACUGCCGGCUGCCCAGCCAGUUCUUCAGUAUGGGAACCCUUACACCGCACACGAGACAAGAGAUGGAGCAGAUGGUGCUUUUUAUCCAGAUGAAAUCCAGAGGCCACCUGUGCGCGGCCCAUCUUGGGAAGACAACGUUGUCUGUAGCCAGCCUGCUCGAAACCUUAGCAGGCCAGAUGGUUUAGAAGACCCGGAGGAUAGCAGAGAAGAUGAGAAUGUGCCCAUUCCUCCUGAUCCAGCAAAUCAGCAUUUACGAGGUCAUGGAGCAGGCUUUUGCUUUGAUUCCAGCUUUGAUGUUCACAAGAAGUGCCCC